GCUAAUGGUAGAAGGACUAAUUUCCUUGGCAUGAAAGUGGCGUGCUUGGUUUCCCCAGAGGUCUAUUACUAUCCUUUCAGUAUAGGGAUCUACUACGUAAGGCUGUGACUUUAGUCUGAGUUUUGCAAAGUUUAAAUGCACGCUCCCUGGAGAACCACGUUCUGAUCCUUAAAAGCAUUCCUGGAACGUGGAGGCACCGCAGCAGUUAGAAAGAAAGGGCGUCCAGAUAUCUAUGGCAACAGUUCUCACCGAGAUACCAGUUGUGUUUCAGGUGUAUGUGACUCAGCACAUGGGAAUCCUGUUGCUGGAUUAAUCUCUCUGGCUUAGAGGCAGCAUUUGUGUGUUGCGUGCAGGUUUACCAAGCGACAUUCGUGCUACUGGAAAUGCUCCACGCAGGCGUGCCAGCUGCCUUGGGAACUGGUGAGGAACCUACCCUGCUGGAGCAAGGAAGAACAAAGCCACUAGGUCAUCUGUCAGACCCAGUGCUGCCCGUCACCUGCCUGCGGAUAACGUUAAGGAGGUAAAGCUCAACCAAUUCCCUCUGUUUGUUUCUUUCUUCCUCUCUUACCCUUUGGCUACUAGGCAACCUCAUCUUGAAAGAUGCUCCCUCCUCCCUUUGAAAUUCUCUUCUUUGAGGCCUGGAGGUCUUCAACAUCCUUUAGACUUGAGUUUUAAAAUAGCCUGGAUGCCUCCAAGACACAUGCAACAGGACAACACCUGCUGUUUAAAUCCUGUUUUUGUGCCUGGUUCUUCCUCUUCUCACCUGUCUGGGGCUUCUGCUUUUGCCAGCCUCUCCCGAAGAGAGGUGCUCCGCUGGCCUCCACAGACUCUAGCACCGGGGUAGCUGCAUGCUCGCACUGAACUUCUCGUGGGCUGACCCAAAAACAGGCUGGGGAAAAGGGUUCUCAAGCAUUGCAGUGAGAGUUACGUGGCAACAUCCUCUGGUGAGCUCUUUGCUGUCUGCUGAGGACCUAAGGCAGCUCUGAGCCCCCAGGUGGCUGACUGUGAGGUUACGAGCAGUAUUUGCUGUCCAUACAGCUCUGCAUCAGACAAUCUACCAGCUUCUGGAAGCUAGGAUUUGUCUCUCAAAAAUCAUAAGGAGUCAAAUGCUAGUUGGUCUCUUACCAGCAAAUUGUGGAUGUCAAUUUUCAGGUUUUUAGUACUGUUUGGUAGCAAAGUAAAAACAAAUAAAAAAAAUGAUCAGCAUUCGGUGAUUCUGUCAAUGUGUGCACACACGCGAAUGCACCAACUUCCAUCCUACAAAUUCUCUAU